GACGAACGCUGGCGGCGUGCCUAAUACAUGCAAGUAGAACGCUGAAGAGAGGAGCUUGCUCUUCUUGGAUGAGUUGCGAACGGGUGAGUAACGCGUAGGUAACCUGCCUUGUAGCGGGGGAUAACUAUUGGAAACGAUAGCUAAUACCGCAUAACAAUAGGUGACACAUGUCAUUUAUUUGAAAGGGGCAAUUGCUCCACUACAAGAUGGACCUGCGUUGUAUUAGCUAGUAGGUGAGGUAACGGCUCACCUAGGCGACGAUACAUAGCCGACCUGAGAGGGGGAUCGGCCACACUGGGACUGAGACACGGCCCAGACCCCCUCGGGAGGCAGCAGGAGGGAAUCCUCGGCAAUGGGGGCAACCCUGACCGAGCAACGCCGCGUGAGUGAAGAAGGGUUUCGGAUCGUAAAGCUCUGUUGUAAGUCAAGAACGAGUGUGAGAGUGGAAAGUUCACACUGUGACGGUAGCUUACCAGAAAGGGACGGCUAACUACGUG
rnacentral:rRNA from 1 species